AACGCCGGCUUUACUCUUUCGGCGCACAGCUUACCCAGGGGAGAAAGAAAUGGCACAGAACAAGCAGGGUGCGGGUCUCCGCCGGGCAGCAGCGGUCCCCGAGGGGCAGCUGGAGGGGGGAUCCCCGGCGCUGUCGCCCCCCGAGCAUCGCCCGAAGGGGCCCCUUUGCUCCGGAGCCCACCCUGGCACCCGCCGCCUCCCCUCUGCCUCCCUCCAGUGGGGAAAUCCCGGCUGGAUCGGGAGAAGCCUCCCGGCUCCGGGGCACAGAACCGGAGGAUGCUGCGAGCUCCGCCAGCGCCGGGGCCACCCCUGCUUCUAAAUCACAGAAAUAUUUUUUUAAAAAAAAACCCCAACAACUCAAGAGCCGAACGAGGAGUCAGGAGGCUGGGAGGCUCCCAGCGCGCCUUCUGCAGCCGCGGGGGAUCCGCAGGAGCUGCUUGACAUUUUGCUGGAGGUGAGAUGAGGAUCUCCGAUUUGAUCAUCUGGUAGUGUCUCUGUUACCUUUUUGCCUUGAUGCUCUCAUACUUUCAGGCAAAUUGGCUGAAUUUGGUGCUUCAUUUGUUUCACAAUAAUAAUGGUCCUGUCUCUGCACCAUUUCUCUGAAGCACACAAGAGAAAAGAUAUGGUGCACCUCUCCAGCCACAACAACCUUGGUCACAAGUUGCAAGGAGGAGGCAGUGGCUGGGUUUGCUCAGAAAGGCUCCUUUCUGUGAAGCAAAGCAGAAGAGAAAUGUAUUUGCCCCAGAGAUGCCUCAGGGAGGCAUGACACAGUGAUACUGGUGUAGCAUGGAGAAGUGCAGAGCAUGGGGAAGAUCCACAGGUCUCUGCCAGCACCUGGCUGAGCCAAGAGAAGAGAACAAGACCAAAUCCACCUGAAACAGCAAGUGUAGAGCCUAUUUCUCCUUUUUACAUCAGUAUUACACUCAAUUCCUUCAGAUGCUCUCAACUUCCCUGAUGCACCCCAAUGAGCGUGGAGGUAACAAGUGCUCUCUGAUAAUGCCAUCGGAAUUACAGCAGGGUCCAGCCCAGUGUGCUGGAUCCGAUCCCUCUCCUGCUGUAGCAUUUCACUAGCAAGUGUCAUUUAGAUGGUUUUGGGAAAGAAUCCAGGAUUUGUUUCACAGACAGUAUUUCCUCAACAGCUCAGUGAAUAUGGAAUAGUUUGAACUAACCAUGCAAAUCUUGCUUGUCGUCUUAUGUAGAGAAACUAUAUCUAUUCUAAAGUCUGGGCCAGGACUUUCAACUGCUGAUGGGGGAUAGUUAUGCAGACUUCAAAGGAGCUGUAUCAGCUUUUACCAAGUGGGGAUCCAGACCUUUAUUCAUAUUUUAAAAUUCAGAAACUGUGCCUAGGUAAAGCAUUUUUCUCUAUAUUUUCAAGUAGCCAGUUUUUUAUUUUAUAGCUGUUCUCUCAGUGGCAGGAUUGUUUCUUAGUAGUCAAUGUUUAAAGGCCCUUCAAGGCUGAAGGAAUUAAAAAUGAAUAAUUUAAAGCUGGUCUAUGAUGCAUAAUUUUUAACAUAUGUUUUACAGGCCAUGUGGAACAGUUUUUGACUUGUCAGUAGAUAUUUUACAAACAUGCUGUGCUGGAACCAAAACCUUUU